CCUACGGGAGGCAGCAGUGAGGAAUAUUGGUCAAUGGACGAGAGUCUGAACCAGCCAAGUAGCGUGAAGGAUGACUGCCCUAUGGGUUGUAAACUUCUUUUAUAUGGGAAUAAAACGUUCCACGUGUGGGAUUUUGUAUGUACCAUUUGAAUAAGGAUCGGCUAACUCUGUGCCAGCAGCCGCGGUAAUACGGAGGAUCCGAGCGUUAUCCGGAUUUAUUGGGUUUAAAGGGAGCGUAGGUGGAUUGUUAAGUCAGUUGUGAAAGUUUGCGGCUCAACCGUAAAAUUGCAGUUGAAACUGGCAGUCUUGAGUACAGUAGAGGUGGGCGGAAUUCGUGGUGUAGCGGUGAAAUGCUUAGAUAUCACGAAGAACUCCGAUUGCGAAGGCAGUUCACUGGACUGCAACUGACACUGAGGCUCGAAAGUGUGGGUAUCAAACAGGAUUAGAUACCCCAGUAGUC
rnacentral:rRNA from 1 species